rnacentral:rRNA from 1 species
GACGAACGCUGGCGGCGUGCCUAAUACAUGCAAGUCGAGCGGAAGUUGGAGAGCUUGCUCUUCAACUUUAGCGGCGGACGGGUGAGUAACACGUGGGCAACCUGCCCUGCAGAUCGGGAUAACUCCGGGAAACCGGUGCUAAUACCGAAUAGUUUUCGCCACCUCCUGGUGGCGUACGGAAAGACGGUUUCGGCUGUCACUGCAGGAUGGGCCCGCGGCGCAUUAGCUAGUUGGUGGGGUAACGGCCCACCAAGGCGACGAUGCGUAGCCGACCUGAGAGGGUGAUCGGCCACACUGGGACUGAGACACGGCCCAGACUCCUACGGGAGGCAGCAGUAGGGAAUCUUCCGCAAUGGACGAAAGUCUGAUGGAGCAACGCCGCGUGAGUGACGAAGGUUUUCGGAUCGUAAAACUCUGUUGUGAGGGAAGAACAAGUACCAAUUAACUACUGGUACCUUGACGGUACCUCACCAGAAAGCCACGGCUAACUACGUGCCAGCCGCCGCUGUAAUAC